rnacentral:rRNA from 1 species
AGCAGCCGCGGUAAUUCCAGCUCCAAUAGCGUAUAUUAAAGUUGUUGCAGUUAAAAAGCUCGUAGUUGAAUUUCGGGAUUGACACAUCGGUCAUGCCUUAAGGGGUAUGAACUGGUGUAGUCAAUUUCUCACCUUCUGGAGAACCGCGAUGCCCUUAAUUGGGUGCCGCGGGGAACCAGGACCUUUACUUUGAAAAAAUUAGAGUGUUUAAAGCAGGCAUUUUGCUUGAAUACAUUAGCAUGGAAUAAUAAAAUAGGACGGCAUGAUUCUAUUUUGUUGGUUUCUAGGAUCACCAUAAUGAUUAAUAGGGAUAGUUGGGGGCAUUAGUAUUCAAUUGUCAGAGGUGAAAUUCUUGGAUUUAUUGAAGACUAACUACUGCGAAAGCAUUUGCCAAGGAUGUUUUCAUUAAUCAAGAACGAAGGUUAGGGGAUCGAAGACGAUCAGAUACCGUCGUAGUCUUAACCAUAAACUAUGCUGACUAGGAAUCAGAUGAUGUUAAUUUUUUAAUGACUCGUUUGGC